rnacentral:misc_RNA from 1 species
GAUUAAAGCUAUAUCAUGCAGAUGAGACAAAUCAGAGCCACAACAGACCAUCUAGACUAGCUUUCACCCCCACACCACCAAUCAACCAAGGAGUAGAAGAGUCCUGGUAGAGCGAGUUGUUUAAACCACCAAGUAUCAGCGACAUAAGGAGUACCUCAUCAAAUGGAAGGGUUUGACUGCAGAAGAGACUGGUUGGGAGAAGGAAACAAACCUCCAGCCACAUAAGCAGAAGAUUGACGAGUUCUCACAAGCUCAAUCACAGCUGUAAAUAUGGACUGCAUUCUUUUCCCUUCACCAAGGUUUUUUUCCACUGGGUUUUACUUGAUAAAGGUUUUUUAAUGAGGCAGUACUUCAUCACUUAUUCUACAAUACAUGUACAAGAGACUGAGGCAAUGGUAUAACAUCAAUCGACAAAAGCGUCGACCAUUGUGAGUGAGGGAGAAUGUCAAGGGGUAAGCAGUUUAGGUAGUAAAAUGUAAAUUUCAGGGAUUAAAGGGGAUAUUUGUAUUUAUUUUCUAUUUAUAUAAUUUUAGGGUGUGAUGGCUCAAGCAUAGUGAUGUUUCCUCCUGCCACACUCCAUUGUAUUCCUAUUGCUCUUUGGGGGGAAGUGACUAGUAGGCUAACGCUGAGCCCGACUGUCAUCGGUUGUUGAGUCCCUGUCCCUUU